GACGAACGCUGGCGGCGUGCCUAAUACAUGCAAGUCGAACGCUUCUUUCCUCCCGAGUGCUUGCACUCCAUUGGAAAGAGGAGUGGCGGACGGGUGAGUAACACGUGGGUAACCUACCCAUCAGAGGGGGAUAACACUUGGAAACAGGUUCUAAUACCGCAUAACAGUUUAUGCCGCAUGGCAUAAGAGUGAAAGGCGCUUUCGGGUGCCGCCGAUGGAUGGACCCGCGGUGCAUUAGCUAGUUGGUGAGGUAACGGCUCACCAAGGCCACGAUGCAUAGCCGACCUGAGAGGGUGAUCGGCCACACUGGGACUGAGACACGGCCCAGACUCCUACGGGAGGCAGCAGUAGGGAAUCUUCGGCAAUGGACGAAAGUCUGACCGAGCAACGCCGCGUGAGUGAAGAAGGUUUUCGGAUCGUAAAACUCUGUUGUUAGAGAAGAACAAGGACGUUAGUAACUGAACGUCCCCUGACGGUAUCUAACCAGAAAGCCACGGCUAACUACGUG
rnacentral:rRNA from 1 species